UUCAUCAUCUGAGAGCUCCUCAUCGUCAGAUGACCAUCACAGCAGAAAGAGCUCAAAGUUGAAAAAGGGCAAGAAGAAGUCCAAGAAGAGCUCUAAGAAAAAAAGCGAAUCAGAAGACUCUUCUUCCUCUUCAGAGUCUUCGUCCUCCAACUCAGCCAUCUCCUACCGCAGCUCCAGUAGUAUUAAAAAGUGCCCUAAACAAGAAUCUGAUGACGACGAGAAGGAACUCACAGGUCAUGGAAAAUCUAGCAAGAAGGAAACAAAGAAGAAGCAGAAGAAAAUGGACAGCUUGGUGAUGAAGUACCUGUACAGGCAUGACAGUGACUGAUACCGAAAGAAGCCCUCCUGUGCACCGGAGAGAUGCGAGUCUUCCCAGAUCAGAUGAAGAGGAUGAGGUGGACAGAGAUGGGGGGCAGGCGCCGAGGCAGAUCAACUGCGAGGGCUCGCUGGCAGAGAGCUCGUCAUAAUCCACAGCCUGUCAACCUUGGUUUUUCAGUGACACCAAUCGCACAACAGGGACACAGUUCUUUUCUGCUAACUUUAUUACUCUUUCCCAGCCAACAAGAACAGAAAUGAGGCACACAAAGAAUGCUUUUUGUUGAGUAGGUUAGCUUGGGCAUUUCAUUAUCCUCAUUGUGGCACACCUAAUAACAUCAUAAAAUUAUUUUGCUUAAAUUAUGCUUCUUUUAAGUAUUAUUUGAAAGAAUAUUAAAAUGAAGGACUAUCAGAAGAACCUUUGUGCUGCUGCUUUAUUUAUAAGAGCUGCUUUUCAGGCAUAUUUAAGCACCCCUCUGCACUUUUCUGACUUUACAGAUAGCUCUGCCAAGAGGAUUUAGAUAAGCCUGCUUUGGUUUUGGACUUCUUCAAGAAGGUCUGACCAACUAUUAAGAUUAUUCUUAUCUUUUUUUCCAUUAAUGUAGACUACUGCAGUGGGAGGAAUUAACCUCUUUUUAAUUAUCUCACUGCCUGUUUACAUAUGGCUCUUGUUGCAAGUUGAGAUAUUCAUAAUUUUAAGAAUGUGAGGUUGCUAAUUAUUGCUGACAGGAAAAUUAAAAAAACAACAACAACGACAACAAAAAAACUAAAACCAAGCUGUUAGGGGUUUAAAGGUGACCUAUGUUGGAAAUGCUGAGAAAUGGAUUUAAGUUUAGAUUUCAAUGUGCAUUGAUAGUUUAAAUGGAUAUCUACUAUGUUGAAUCAAAUGCUUUAGAUGCAACUCAGAUAAAAUUGAAUAAAGCUACUAAGUAUUUUAUUGA